rnacentral:misc_RNA from 1 species
AAAGUCGUAACAAGGUUUCCGUAGGUGAACCUGCGGAAGGAUCAUUAACACAUCCUUUUACAUACUAUUACACUACUUGCGAAACAAAUAUGCCUAUCGACAGCGAAGUCUGGUUUUCAACAGCUAUGGUUGACUGCUCUUGUGGUGGUUAGCUGACCAGAUGUUUAUCCAAGCGGUCUUGUACUGUUUGAGGUGAAACUUCGACUCCGGUACGGUACACAGCCUCAACCAUGGCUGGCCAAAUUUUUUUACAAACAACAUUUAUAACAAACACUUCAUUUUUAGACAUGGAAACAUGUCGCUCUUUAUCUCGUGCGGCUCUAACAAGGCUUCAUGAAGUAAACACAACACAACUCUUAACAGCGGAUAUCUCGGUUCCC